rnacentral:rRNA from 1 species
GAUGAACGCUGGCGGCGUGCCUAAUACAUGCAAGUCGAGCGACAGGACGAGAAGCUUGCUCCUCUGAUGUUAGCGGCGGACGGGUGAGUAACACGUGGAUAACCUACCUAUAAGACUGGGAUAACUUCGGGAAACCGGAGCUAAUAACAGAUAAUAUUUUGAACCGCAUGGUUCAAAAGUAAAAGGCGGUCUUGCUGUCACUAAUAGAUGGAUCCGCGCUGCAUUAGCUAGUUGGUAAGGUAACGGCUUACCAAGGCAACGAUGCAUAGCCGACCUGAGAGGGUGAUCGGCCACACUGGAACUGAGACACGGUCCAGACUCCUACGGGAGGCAGCAGUAGGGAAUCUUGCGCAAUGGGCGAAAGCCUGACGGAGCAACGCCGCGUGAGUGAUGAAGGUCUUCGGAUCGUAAAACUCUGUUAUUAGGGAAGAACAUAUGUGGAUGUAACUCUGCAUAUCUUGACGGUACCUAAUCAGUAAGCCACGGCUAACUACGUG